ACGAACGCUGGCGGCGUGCUUAACACAUGCAAGUCGAACGGAGAUAGUUUGAAAGCUUGCUGAUAACUAUCUUAGUGGCGCACGGAUGAGUAACACGUGGGCAACCUGCCCGGAAGACUGGGAUAACACCUCGAAAGGGGUGCUAAUACCGGAUACCUUCACGAAGUCGCAUGACUUUGUGCAGAAAGAAAUUCGCUUCCGGAUGGGCCCGCGUCCCAUUAGCUAGUUGGCGAGGUAACGGCUCACCAAGGCGACGAUGGGUAGCUG
rnacentral:rRNA from 1 species